UCGAGGUGAUGGAUUCGAAGAAUUUUAAGCAUCGAAAACCUCUUUCAGUAAACUUUUGAGGUGCACCUUUGAUUCUUUAGGGCCUCUCCUUUAUAUAAACCUUUUCCUCAUUUUUAUAGGGAAACAACAUUACCUAUCGUACUUCACUAUUUUUUUUAGCACGCUUCCUCAAAAGAUAUCGUCUGUCUUUCUCUCUCUUUAACACACACAAACAUUGGUAGAGUCCCUAUUCCACGUACAUGCAAAGACCUUGGUGGAGUCUCGCUCUCUCUAUCCCUCUCGCUCUCUCAAAAGAUAUUGAUAGUCCCUCUCUCUCUUUCCCUCAUUGGUAAUCUCUCCCUCACACACACAAACGACAAUGGGAGAAUCUCUCACACACACAAAAGACAUUGGUAGAAUGUCUUCCUCCCUCUUUCCCACACACAAAAGGCAUUGGUAGAGUCUCUCCCUCUCUCACACACACAAAAUACAUCGGUACUCUCUCUCUCUCUCACUCACUCUCACUAACAUAAAAUAC
rnacentral:lncRNA from 1 species